rnacentral:lncRNA from 1 species
GGCAUUUCUGCACUCAUGUGUGAAUACCAGGGAGUCUGACAUUUGGGAAUGCACUUCAAAGCACACUCCAGAGGGGCAGACGUGUCUCUGGAAUGGCUAGAGGCUGCACCGUUACCCAGAUGGCUCCUUCUUCAACGGUUGUCUGCUUUUGGGGUCCUACUGGGAAUAAAGCAGUUAAGACUGACCCAUGGCUCAUCCCCUCUUGGACUUUAGCAGAAAGGGGUCUGGGCAGUCAUUCCAGAGGCUCAUCUGUACCAGAGGUCGCUGGAGCAGUGUUAGAAACCGCAACCCAUGCAAGUGAGUGGAAUAAUGCAGAAGACUGUGGCCGAUCAGGAUGAGUGCAAUUCUAUGUGUUUUUGUUGUUCUCUAUGCAUUGUUUUCGUCAGCUUUUGCAUCACUGUGACCAAGAGACCUAACAAGAACAACAUAGGGGAGGAAAAGUUUGUUUUGGCUCAUGGUUUCAGAGAUCUUAGUCCACAGACUGCUGACUCCAUUGUUCUGGGCCCAAGGUGAGGCAGAAUGUCAUGGGGAAAGGGCAAGGAGGAGGAGAGCAGCUCAGGGCAUGGCAAUAGGAAGCAGAGAGAGCUGGACUCACCAGGGACAACAUAUAAAGCCCAAAGGCACACCCCAGAGACCUGUCUCCUAUGGCCACACCCUAUUUGCCUACAGUUACCACCAGUUAAUUUAUCUGCAUGUAUUAACCCGCUGAUUAAGUCACAGUUUCAGAUAGGUCACAAGUCUUAUAUCAUUAUUCACUUCUGAUGGUUCUGACCAUCCAUAUCUCCCAGUUCUUUUUUUAAUGGCUUUUAACUCCUGUCUUUAUAUCUCUUUAAUUAUAUUUAAAAACAUUUGUUUGUUUUCUCUCUCCAAUUGCUCUGCUUUCUCAAGUAUUUUAAAACCCAUUUUCUUUUCUCUUGUAUCUGGGGACUGUCCUAUGUAGUGGACCAUUUCCUUGAUCUCUCCUGGAUACUCUCCUAUACGCCUCUCUCCUUUGCUGACUUUAAUCUGCAUCCUUCCAUGGUAAUAUACCUCAACAGCCAGGAAAACAGCUUUUCUGAGUUCUGAGAGUCUUCCUACCUAACCACUACCCCUGAGGGGAUCUUGAGGACCCUGAUGCAGGAGGGGACACAGUUCCAGCUCUGCCCUGUGCACAGGUCUCCCUGUAGGUAUCACCACCUCAGCAUUUAAGCCAAAGGUCCAAUUUUCUCUAGCCACUUUGUUAACCACCUUCCUCAUUGACCUCUGCUGCUGUUUUUCAGUUCUUAUAUGUGCAGUUAUUUGCCACAGAACACCUUUUCAAAGAUGGAUCACACAUGUGACCGUGGUCCUAUAGGAUUUUAAUGGAUCUGAAAAUUCUUAUCACACAGUAUGACAGCAGCCACUGUAACGUAUCCCAGUGUUUGUGGUGAUGCUGGUAUACACAAACCUACUGUGCUGCUGCCAAUUGUGUAAAAGUAGAGCACGUACAAUUGCGAACAGUACACAAUCCUUGAUAAUGAUGAUACAUGACUACAUUACUGGUAUAUGCAUUUACUAUAUUAUACUUUUUUUAGCAUUAUUUUAGAGUGUACUCCUUUGACUUAUAUAAAAACAGAAUUUACCGCAAUACAAUACAGCAUUCUGGUUGCACAUCUCCUGUUUACUGUGUUUAUUUGUAGUAUAAAUUUCUCUUGUGCUUUAUUUAAUAUUGCAUUUUGUUCAUCAUGGCCUAAGGAACAAUAGGCUAAUAUAGAUGGGUUUUUAUACAUAAAUAGGCCACAAGGUCUAGGUGUGUGGUGAGCUCUAUCAUCUAGGUGGGUGUAAGUGCCCUCCCUGUUUGAACAGUGACAGAACUGCCUGAAGACGUAGUUCUCAGAAUGUAUCCCUGCCAUUAAGUAAUGUGUGACUGUACUGUGAUCUGUUUGGGGGACAUGUUUCUUCUCCAGGACAUUUACAGUGUCAUGCUCAGGGCUGGUUUGGAAGAAACAAGCAUGAGACCCAGGAGUUAUCUGGCUUACGUUCCCAUCUUAUUUUUCUGAGGCAGGAACACUUCAUUGCCAGAUGCCUGUACACCUCUCCUGGUGUGUAAGCAGCCCCUCUGACUUCUUGCUUUGCAGCUCCUGUGUCUACUGCAGAUUAAUCUCAGUUUCUAAGGCAUGACCAUUUUUGAUCAAUGCCUGCGUUUUUGUCUGACCACUCUGAGCUUGGUAUAUAGUAGGCUUCCAGAAGAUACUUGUUCAUUUUUUUUUUAAUGUGAAAGCUCUUCUUUCAUCCUAUCUUUCAAAUUAUCUUUCUUGUCUUUCUUCCUUGUGGAAAGGAUUUUCUGAUUUAAUUUUGUGGUCAGAGACUUUGAAGCGACAAUGGGAAGCAACAAUGUCUCUGUCUCUGCACAGGAAGAACAGUUAGUCACUGACUUUAGGUGACCAUUGAACUGAUCUAAAACAUGCUUUAAGCAGGUGCAGAGGCAUGUGCCUAACAUCCCAGCAACUAGGGAGGCCAAAGCAGGAGGAUCACAAGUUGGAGGCCAGCCUGGACAGUUCAGUAAGACCCUGUCUCAAAAUAAAUAAAUAAAUAAAUAAAUAAAUAAAUAAAUAAAUAAAUAAAUAAAUAAAUAAAAAAGGAUGGAGAAGUAGUUGAAUGGUAAAACACCCCUGGGUUCAAUCCCCAGUACCAAAACAAUUCUAAAAGGCACACUUUAGAUCACCCUAUCAUAAAUGUGUGUAAAUAGACCUCUGUAUCCAUUAAUUAAACAUUCAUAAUGAAGAAAGUGGUAUUUCAGCAUCUUCCAGGACACAUGAAAGUAACCCUCAGUUUCUCUUUUACAAAUUAAAGAAUGUCACUCUUGUAGCCUAUUGUCCACCCAUGUAAUCCCAUUCACCGUUCCUUCCUGAGCCCUCGCUGUGGUUCUCUACAGCAUGAGAAGCAUUGACAUUCACACACUGCAUGUGAAGCACUAGAGUAGAAAGAGUCCUAAGCAUCUCUCUUGGAAGCAUGUGAUGGAAACCAACAAAUUAGGCUCUUAGACAACAUAGAUAAUUGGAAGAUUUAUUGCAAGGACAUUACAGAAACUUAUAGAAUCAAAGGUUAGAUUUCUUUUAGGUAAUUUGCAUAAAGAACUCGGAUUGGCUGAGCUAGAGUCAUGUGCCCACAUUUGACCCAAUCAUUUCAACUAAGAAUAUAGCGGGGUUGGAUCACAUGCUCCUCCUUUUGGACUUCGCCUGUUACCAGAAGAGGGACGGGGCUAUCAUGGUGGCCGGGAGGGCUGGUUAUUGCACUUUUGACAUGAUAGUGGACUCUAAACUCCUGAUUAUUUAGAGAAAGGUUAGAGUGGGUGUUUUUCUUCUUAGUGCUGUGUUGCUGACUUAGAGAUCCGUGUUACACAAUAAAUCUCAUCUUCAAAGGUAUAAUUUGCUCUUGCCAGUUAUUCUAUAUUUUAUGUUGGCCAGGCUUGCUUUGAGUCCCUAUUGAAUUGCAUCCUAUUUUGUUAAAUGAGUUUCUUUUAGCCCGUCAAAUACUCUUCUAAAGAACUGAAAACAUAAAUCCCCUAAAAUUCCUCCAGAAUGAGAAUUUGAUGGUCAUUUAGUUUUUCCAAAAGUCCAUGUUUCAUGCUAAAUCCAUUCUUACUGCUGUCACCUGAUUGUCUAAAUUGGAGAAACCUGCCUGCCAUUUUUCACAAGGACAUUUGUGGGUGGGGGACUCAGUUAACACUCUGCUUGCUUAUCACAUCACUUGAUUUAUCUGGGGUAAAGGAGUGAGGUAGGAGUUUUGACAGGCAGUGAUAUCUCAGGCAGUGAGGCUCAAAUACCUCUGCACGAGGAUAAAACUGUUAGCCAAACAGACCUUCUAAAUACCACCCAAAAGCAGGAAUAAACCAUGCAGACAGGAAUAAGGCUCCCUUCCAAGCAUUACAGAAGCUGUCACACUCCAGCAAACUCAAAACACAUACGCGAAUAUGUAUAUAUCCUUUACCGUUAUUAAUGGUAACCAGAGAGCUAAUGGUGUAAGUUUAGCAUCACACAAACUCAGCUGCUGACAACUUAUUUUUAUAGGGCAGCCUUGAGAAAUCUAACAGAGGUAAACCAAGGCGGGGGGGGACAAAUCAUAAAGGAGGUGAGGGCACAUAAUUUAAUCCUUGCUAUUGGUACUCACUGGCUUCUAGAACUCACUUUUUUUUUUUUUCAAGUAUAAAUUUUUCUGAUAAAAUGAGAAGUCUAAACAGGGUUGGAUAGGAGGACUAAAAAGAAUACUGAAGUUUAUGUGUGUGUUUUGGAGGUUGGGGGUGUGGGAAGAAUGCCGAUUAAAGUGUAUGGUGAUGAUCUCCCGGAGGAGUGGGAGGUUCCCUCUUUCUGAUCUGGUCACCUCUGUCCCAUGAGGAAAGCAAUCAAGCUGUGUUGCCAGAGUCCUAAAACUUGACCUUCCAGGUUUUCUGUCAAGGCCACAUAAGUGCCCUGAUAUAGGGUUUUCCUUGCCUGCUACAAAAAUUACAACCCAAGUUGUGCUCACAUUGCAGCUCAGCCGUGUGGAAAGAACACUGAACUUGGUGUCAAAGAUCUGGAUCAAGUGCUUGCAGUGUUCUUAUUGGACAUGUGAUUUAAAAUCUGGCUCUGUCCCUCCUUCUGCUGUGAAAUAGGACCAGAAUAACCUCUUUCAUAAAAUUACCAAGAGAACUUGACACAGCAAUGUUCAGGAAGCCACUUGUUAAGAUGUCUAAUGCUUUAUAAACACUGGUGGUAUCAUUAUUUGUGGUCUUCUGUUAUCUCAUGGUUCAGUCUCUGAUAAGGACACACUAUUGGCAAGAACUCCAUUGGAACUCUGCCUGGCCAUUUACCUGUUCUUUUUCUUACUUAGUUUUAUAUCUUAGCUCUAAAGUGUUCCACAGGCCUAUGGGAGAGUAUUCUAGAAUGUGAGAAUUUACAAAUCCUUUAGACCAAGUGAGGUGGGGAGACUGUAACUUCCCACCCCUUGGAAAAACAUUGUUGAUUUAUUCCAGGGUUUCUUAACCAAGGAUGAUCUAAUUCCUACUCCUACCCAGGGCACAAUUAACAAUGCUAAUUGUAGUCAUGCUAAUCAUACAUAUUUAUAAUCAUCACAACUGUAACUGGCAUCUACAAAAGCCAGGGUUGCUGCUAGACAUUCUACAGCACAUAGGACAGGCCCCAAUAAUAAAGAAAGAUUCAGUCCGAAAUGUCAGUAAUGGUGAGUAACUGCACCUUGUGUGGAGGAGAAAGCUUCCUUCCUGGGUUUCCAGAUGGGUUUUGCCACUGUGAGCUUCCGGAAGGGAAGGGCGGCCACCAUGCCCCUACUGCAUUUCCUCAUUUUCUCAUCAUCUCUGUUAUAAAAUCCUUAGCAUUUUUGAAUGCUAUCCUAGAUCAGGUGAUAUAAUUUACAUGUAUUUCCUCUAGAUUAUAAUGUUUAAAAAUGCUAUGGUUAGCUGGAAAUGACUACUUCAAUACUUUUCCAUCUCUUGAUCGUCUUUUUUAGAAAUGUUUUAUAUCUCAUAUCUUUAAAUAAGACCUUGCAUACAAAUAUACUCUCUGCCUUUCUUUUUAUUUUUUUGCUGUUUUAGACAUGUAUUUGCUUGAGAUAUUCUAAAUCUUUUAUAUACUUCAAAUGCAAAUGUGAUGCCUAGAGGAAAAAAUCAUGAAACCGUUAUAGAGUAGCCUAGUCUCAGAAAGUAUGCCACCAACAGUAACUUCCGAUUUUUAAAAAUUUUAUUUAUUUAUUUAUUUAUUUUUUAAAAAUAUUUAUUCUUAAGUUUUAGGUGAACACAAUAUUUGUAUUUUACAUUUAUGUGGUGCUGAGGAUUGAACCCAGUACCUCGUGCAUGCUAGGCAAGCACUCUACCACUGAGCCACAAUCCCAGGCCCACGAUUUUUAAAAAUUUUAAAUAAUUGAAACUUUAUAAAAUAUUUGCAAGAUUACUGUUUCAUACCCCAUAUUCAGAUUUCCCAAUUAUUACUAACAUUUUAUAACAUUUGCUUUAUCAAUAUCUCUCAUUUCCUCUAAGCACAUAAAUGCACAUUUUUUUUCUGAACCACCAGAGAAUAAGUUACAUAAAUGAUUCCCAGUAACCCUAUAUACUUCCAAGAAUAUUACCUAAAAAUAAAUCUGGCUUCUGUAUCCCUUUGACAUCAUUUUUUUUUUUAAAUACCAGAGAUUGAACCCAGGGGCCCUUACUCACUGAGCCAUAUUCUGAGUUACUUUUGUUUUUAUUUUGAGACAGGACCUCAGUAGUUUACUUACAGUAUUGCUGAGUGCUGAGGCUGGCUUUGAACCUGUGAUCCUCCUCCCUCAGCCUCCCAAGCUGCUGGGAUUACAGGCAUGCAUAAAUGUGCCCUGUGACAUCAUUUAUUUUUAGCCCUUCUUUACUUUCUGUUCCAGACUCAUCUAUUGCUUUCCAUGCCCACCCUUGGUUUCAGAUAUUUCUCCAGAAAGUUCUGGUUUCUUUCAGUGGAGAAUUGAAUUUAGAAACUACAGUCUCAGAUCAUGGUGUGCUCAUUGCCAGUGGGCUGACUUUGUUUAGGUUCUAAAGACAUACUUAUAUCCAUAUUCUGAUUGAAUAUCAAUCAAUCAAUCAUCUUACCAUGAGUAGCUUACAUGAACACUUUCAGUUUGACUCUAAUCUCAAAGAUCCCAAGGAAUUUAUUCUAUUUUUUUUCCUUUUCAUAUUUGUACUCCUUUCUGACAGUGAACACCUAUGGUUCUCAAUGUAUUUAUUUGUUUUCUCACCCCCAACCCCCUUCUGUACCCAGGCUCCCAACUAUCCUGGCCACCCCUUAGUAGUUCUCUGGGCCACUUUGUCACUUGGCCACUUCAUCACUUCUUGGCAGAGACAUUUAAGAAACAAUUCUCUGCUUUUAAGGGAGAUUAUAGAUUUUCUUUCACUUUGGAAAAGGAAGAUUAAGACCAUGCUGAGAGGGUAGGAACUGUGGACUCAGCCAAGGCAUAGGAGACUUGAUGUUCAUUAGCCACAUUAAAUAUAUUAAAAUAUUCUCUUUACAAAAGAGACAUGAGAGGGCAUGAGAAUUAAAAAUAAUAUUUGAUCUUACAUUAGGUUCUGGAUAAAAAAUUAUAUAAAAGAUAUAUUAGUAUAAUUGGAGAAAUUUAAAUAUGAAUUAUAUUAGUAGAAUUAUAAUUAAGUCAUAUAUACUUUAUCAUAUUGUAGUUGUAUGAGAGGAUGUACCUUUUCUUGAGAAAUGCACAGUGAGGUAUUUAGGAAUAAAUGGAGAUGAUAUGCACAUCUUUUUCUGAAAGGGCUCAAUAGUAGUGAUAUCUACAUAAAAAUGUGACUUUGAAUCCUCUUGGCAGUGGAUGAAAUUAAGGAAAUUAAUCAACUUUCCAUUCUCAAUUUCCUCAAUUUAAAAAGGGGAUGUUAAUCAUUACUGAUUCUUGUGGUUAUCUUAGAAAUCAGUAAGAAUGUGUAUACAGUACAUAACUUGGUGCCAGACACCAAGUUGGGACUGAGUGAGACUUUGGCAAGUGAGUAAAUAUAUGAAUGCUAGAGACUUGUGUUCCAUGAGUAAUUGUAACAACAACAACAACAGUAGCAACAACAAUAACAAAAAUGCCUGUUUUUGAGAACUUGUUCUGUGUUGGGUCACAUCUUUACAGCAGCCACGUGCGUGCUUUCACUGUUGGUUAAUUAGGUUAUGUUCUCACACCUAGACCAAAGAUAAAGGUCAGUGAGGCUGGUGAAGAGUCAUAGAAAAAAGCUUUUGUUUGCACAUGGAGGAGGGAAGAUUCAUUCUCCAAAGGAGCGAGGAAGUCAGCAUACAAAAUAAGGAACAGCCAUCACAGUUCUCAAAACAAUCUUUAGGAAAAUUUGGAAGAUAUAGUUACUUCUAUUGACAUGCAAGGAAAGAACAUCUUAGAACAGAUAACUUGUCCAAGGUCAGCCACAUGUUUCCAAAGCAACAGAGCAAGGUUCAAAUCUUGCUUGAAGAUUUGAUUGACACAUACCAUGCCACCAAUGGCUCUGCUAUUCUUGGAUGGAUUAAUGUCAUUAAUAGUCUUAGCCUUUCUACCUGUUUUGUCAGUUUGCUAAACUCAGUGCCUCUUUUGUGCUUAGAGAGGCACAGAAUCCCUUAGAGUCCUGUGGUUUUCAUGUAUCCGUUUUUUCCCACUUCUACAACAUUGUAUUGAUUAUCUUCUAUAUGCUGAUUUAAACAUAACUGAAUAUUACAUCGUUAGGAAGACAUAGUGUAUCUAUUUUUAAUGAUAUCCAAUGGCUUUGUGACUUUGUAGACUGAAAUGAUGUCUGGGCUACAGACAGCAUGGGUCUGUGCAGGCAAAGUGAAGUACGCGUGUUCCCUUCCCCCCACACCUUCCUGAAACUUAUUUUCUGCUUCUUGUGCCUGGAAAAGCCUUUUGGACCCCACCCACUUCUCUACCAUUCAGAUGCACCUCUUGGACAGCUUCCUUCAUGUUUCUUUAUCAGAAUAAGAUACUUAUCAGGUGUCAGUUGGUAUUGAAGUGACAGAGAUAAAUGCUAUCUAGUGUCUACUUUGAUGAGAACAUAAUCUAAUUAAUUCCCCCCCCCCCCAUCAUCACAGUUACAUUUGACUUCUGGUUGUCUGGAUAUGUCUGUCUCUCCCUCUGCAUUUUACUUCUUUCUUUGAAGAGAGGGACAAUUUUAGAUUUUCAUAUCAUCUAGCAUGGAGUGUCAGACAAUGUCCUAACUUCACUUUCACUUGGUUUACAUAGGAAAGUCUCUCAGUCUUCCAAUUAUUUAUGCAUUUAUUCAUUUAUUCUGUUGCACAUUUAGCUUCUAUUUAUUGAGACUUUACAAAAUGCCCUGUGUUACCGUUCGCAUUGAAAGCUAGCUGGAAGGACUGGGUAACACUUGUCACCCCAUAAUAAUUUAGAUUAGUGGUUCUUACCUAGGGACAAUAUUGCUCCCCUUCUCCAGGGGACAUCGGGAAAUGUCUGGAGAUAUUUGAUGAUCGAGACUGAGGAGUGGUUCCUAGCAUUUAGUGGUUAGAGGCCACAAAUGCCACUUUAAAAGAUCCUAUAAUGCACAGAAUCUCUCCCCUGACCCUCCACCCACUACAAGAAUUACCUAGCCUAAAAUGUCACUUGAGCUGAGGACAAGAAGCCUGAUAUGGAUUCUUAUAACUCAUAAAAUUGGACAUGGUCCCCCAUUUUAAUCUCAAGGAUCACCUAAAUCUCUCUAGAAACUGAUAACAUAGAACAGAAGUUUUUUCCACCUGGAAGCUGUGAAGCUUUGAUGAUUUCAGUUUCUCCCCACAACACCCCUGGGAGACAGAGGACAUUCCUGUUUUACUGAUGAGGCAACUCCGGCUUGAAGAGGUUAAGCAACUGUCAGAAAAAAGUGUUCACUUUUCCUCCUUCAUGAAGUAUAGCAAGGAAGUUAUUGAGUUUUCACUGAAAGGCUUGGUCUGGGCAGCUGGGUGUCAGCACUAGCAUUUCUGGAAGAAAUUCAAGUCCUCCCCGUAUAGAGCUGUCAAGUCAUGACUCGUCCUUAAAGGUGGGCCAAAAGUCCUCCUAUAGUUUUUCAAUUAUGUGAGAACAACAGUUAAGGAGUUAUCGAUCUCCAGGGUGCACACUGGCACAAGGAUGUAAGCAUUAGCCAAGAAACAAGACAACUGUGGUCACUGGUGAUUUUUCCUAUUUCCAUGAGGCCUUAUGCAAUUCUGGCUGCUUUUGAAUCUCUCUUCCAUGUCACUGUGUCCUUAUCGGAAUCCAAACUCUCCUCCCCUCCUCGUCUCCUGGGCACAUAGAUAACUCUUUUGCCCUUUGCAAUCUCCACACAUUUCUAUAUUGCUUUGUAAGGUAUUUUGCAGUUUCGUUUAUGCUUAGUUUGUAUUUAUACACUGAUUGUAAGCAUCUUUGUGAGCCGAUAAUAAAUGCUACCAAACAGCAGAUAUGCUCUCACAAAGAGGAUCUCCCUCCAUUCACUGCAUUCUUUCACUUACUCUAUUUCAAAAUAAUUUAUGAAGUGUCUGGUAUAUAACAGGUAUCAUGCAAAGGGAAUAUAUCCACAAAGCUAUUUCAUUGCACUGGAAAACAAAAGAUACAGAACCAUGUGCAGAUUCCAUGAAAUAAAGCAAGGAAAUCAUGUGACCCAGUACUUGCCACUCAGAUAAAUACUAGAGAUCAUUAUUAGUAUUCUUCCCAACACAGAGAAGGUUGCUAUGAAAAUAGUAGAUGUUUUGUACAAGUUUGUUGUGCGAUUGAAGGAGUCUAUGCUGAGACCCCAAAAUAAGUGUCAAGAUGCUGACAGAUGUAUUUGUCAUCCUUAGUGAAGAGUUUGGGUGAGCAGACAUGUUUACAGAUGCAUCAUCUAUCAGCUGAGUUAGUACCGGGACUAUUGGACAAGCAAAUACAUGUUUACAAGUGAAGUAAACUACUGGGUCUGCAUGAUGAGAUGGAGUCAGAUUCCAGUGUCCUCAGCUCUCAGUGUAAGAGGCAUUUGAUUUAGUUGGAAUCUGUCUGCCGCUUUAUACCAGACUCAGAUUCCAUGGUAGGAUUCUGGAGAGUGAGAUUUCCGGUAUAUCUUAUGAGAGAGCGCCCUUGUGAUAAUAAUAGCUCUAGUUACACAUAGGGGAGCCAGGGAAGCUCAGUAAACAAGUCUGAAAUGUCAAAACCCAUAGUAGAAGCAAUAAAUUAUUAAAUUAGGAAGAAAAAACGGUUUUACACGUACUUCCAUUUGAGAUGUGUUUAUUCAGGGCUUAUCACAAAUGCAGAGGGUUGAAGGAGGACAAAACAUGAGAGUCUACCUCUCCCUGACAGAAGAAUCCCUGUAGCUUCAUUCCAUGCUGAACAACGUGGGUCUUGCCUUUGCAAGAAGGAUGUGGAUUGCCAAGAUGGCUCAUUGCCACCAAAGGCCUGCAUGUCCUGCAAAAUGGAGAUAACAGGUCCUGGCAUAAUCCAAAUUACUGAAUGGAUGUUCUAGUCAAAUGAUACACUCUUCAUGAAAUCCUAUGGCUCCUGAAUCUAUGUUAUUGGAUUUGAGUUAUUCCUCUAGGUUACUUCUCAGACUUCCAUUUCCGGUCUUAGCUGAAACUGUCAUGCCAAAAAUGCCCCCAAACAAGGUCUUCCUUUCUAUAUUUUGUUUUUCUUCAGUUUUAACCUUUUCUAUUAAGGGUUUUUGCCCAGUGUUCUUUGAGAGAAGGCUGGAUUCUUUUCUCUGUCCCUAGCACAUUGAUCAUUGGUUCCUAUACUGUUCUGUGGUCCAUGUAUAUAGUACCUGACACUUAAAAGUUCUAAUCUACCAAUCACUAAGUAAAUAAAAGAAUGCAUCGAAUUUAUUACUACUUCCUUUUCCACCUUAAAAUUCAACCUGACUCAUGUAUCUUUUGCAUUUCCCCUAUGGCUUUAUUGAAGACAUCAUCACACCCAACCUUGAUUAUUGCGAUGAUCUCCUAUCUGGGUUUCCCCUUCCUGAUGGUCUUCCUCCCUAUUAUUAUUUAAUCACCUAAAAUGAAGUCAUGUCUCUGCUUUAUUCAAAGACUCCAUUAGUCACAGUUGCCUACAGAAGAAUGCUAGGACUGUCACUGUGCAUAUGAGAUCCAGGCUGUGUAUGCAAAACAUGACUGACUUAGGUUCAAAUCCUUUUUCUCUUAUUCUUCCUUCCUACCCCCCAAAUUCCCAUAACUCAGCUCUUGCUCCCCACCUGCAACUCUAUUUCAUUCACAUAGCUAUUUAUAUCAUAUCUCCCAACUUCUGUAAAUACUCCUCUUGAUUUAAAAACUUUGUUCUCUGUAUCCUCUAUUAAUUUAUUUACAUAAAUAGAGAAUAAUUUCUCAUUCUUCUGGUUGUACAUCAUGUAGAAUCUCAUUGGUGGUAUAAUCAUAUUUGAACAUAGGGUUAUAAUGUCAGAUUCAUUCUACUACCCUUCUUACCCCCUUACCCAUACCCUCCCUUCAGUCCCUGCUACCUAAUCCAAAGUAACUCUAUUUUCCCCUAGCCCUAGCUCCUUAUUGUGAAUUAGCAUCUGCAUAUCAGAGAAUACAUUUGGACUUUGGUUCUUUGGGAUUGGCUUAUUUUGCUCUGCAUGAUAUUCUCCAGCUCCAUCCAUUUUCUCACAAAUGCCAUAAUUUCAUCUUAUUUAAGGCUGAGUAUAUUUUAUUAUUUAUAUACUCUACAUUUUCUUUAUCCAUUCAUCAGUUGAAGGACACCUAGAUGGGUUCCAUAGUUUAGCUAUGUGAAUUGAGCUUCUCUAAACAUUAAUGUGGUUGGGUCACUGUAGUAGGUUGAUUUUAAGUCCUUUGGGUAUAAACUAAGGAGUGGAAUAGCUGGGUCAAAUGGUGGUUCCAUUCCAAGGACUUUCCGUACCACUUUCCAUAAUGGUUGUACCAAUUUGCAGUCCCAACAGCAAUGUAUGAGUGAGUGUACCUUUCCCCCCACAUCCUUACCAACAUUUAUUGUUGGUUUUAUUCUUGAUGAUUGCCAUUCUGACUAGAGUGAGAUUGAAAUCUUAGAGUAGUUUUGAUUUGCAUUUCUCUAAUUGCUAGAUAUUGAACAUUUUUUUCAUAUAUUUGUUGAUUGAUUGUAUUUCUUCUUCUGUGAAGUGUCUGUUCAAUUCCUUAGCUCAUUUAUAGAUGGGGGAAGGGUUUUUUUUUGUUUGUGUGUGUGUGUAUGUGUGUGCAUGUGUGUUAAGAUUUUUUAAGUUCUUUAUAUAUCCUGGAGAUUAGUGCUCUGAGAUGCAUGUGGUAAAGAUUUUCUCCCAUUCUUUAGAUUCUUUCUUCACGUUAUUGAUUGUUUUCUUUGCAAGAAGAAGCUUUUUAGUUUGAAUCCAUUCCAUUUAUUGAUUCUUGAUAUUACUUCUUGCACUUUAGGGGUCUUGUUAAGGAAGUCAGAUCCUAGGCCAACAUGGUGAAGGUUUGGGCCUACUUUUUCUUCUAUUAGGAGCUGGGUCUCUGAUCUAGUGCCUAAGUCUUUUAUCCAUUUUGUACAAGAUGAGAGAUAGAGCUUUAAUUUCAUUUUGUUACACAUGGAUUUCCAAUUUUUCCCAGCACUAUUUGUUGAAGAGGCUAUUUUUUUUCUCCAGUGAAUGUAUUUUAGUGCCUUUGUCUAGUAUGAGAUAACUGUAUUUUUGUGGGUUUGUCUCUGUGUCUUCUAUUCUAUACCACUGGUCUAUGUUUCUGUUUUGGUGCCAAUGCCAUGCUGCUUUUGUUACUAUGGCUUUGUAGUAUAGUUUAAGGUCUGGUAUUGUGAUGCUUACAGCUUCACUCUUCUUGCUAAGAAUUGCUUUGCCUAUUUUGGGCCUCCUAUUUUUCCAAAUGAAUUUCAUGGUUGCUUUUCUAGUUCUCUGAAGAAUGUCAUUGGGAUUUUUUAAAAAUAUUUAUUUUUGAGUGAUAGUUGGACACAAUACCUUUAUUUUAUUUAUUUAUUUGUAUAUGGUGCUGAGGAUUGAACCCAGGACCUCACAUGUGCAAGGCCAGCGCUCUACCGCUGAGCCACAACCCCAGCCCCUGUCAUUGGGAUUUUAAUAGGAAUUGCAUUAAAUCUGUAUAGCACUUUUGGUAGUGUGACCAUUUUGACAAUGUUAAUUCUGCCUAUCCAAAAGCAUGGGAGUCUUUCCAUCUUCUAAGGUCUUCUUCAAUUUCUUUCUUUAAUAAUCUGUAGCUUUCAUUAUAGAAAUUGUCUACCUCUUUUGUUAGAUCGAUUCUCAAGUAUUUUAUUUUAUUUUUUUGAGGCCAUUGUGAAUGGGAUAAUUUUCCUAAUUUCUCUUUUCGUGGAUUCAUCACUGAUGGUAUAGGAAUGUGUUUGAUUUAUGGGUAUUGAUAUUAUAUCCUGUUACUUUGCUGAGUUCGUUUAUUAAUUCUAGAACAUUUCUGGUGGAAUGUUUUAGAUCUUCUAAAUAUAGAAUCAAGUCAGUGGAAAAGAGUGAUAGUCUGAGUUCUUCUUUUCCUAUUCAUAUCCCUUAGUGAACUUCUGUUCACCAUUCAAGACCCAGCUGGAUUAUUAUGUCUGCCCUCUGCCCUGAAGCUGCUAGUUAAUCUGUCACCCUACUUUGAUUUAUUGCAAAAAUUAUUAAAACUUUCCAUGAAAGGACUUACUGUUCAUUCCAUUGUUUUUUUUUUUCAUGUUACAUGAAGUUUUUACUUGGUUCUAUUAUCAACCAAAUUGAUUUUGGAUGAAAUAGCUAACAACCUCUUUGUGGCUCAGUUUCCUCAUCUGUGAAGUAAAAGUAAUGGUAGUAAAUUAUUUUAGAGUAUUGUGAGGUUUAAAUGCAUGAAUCAUGGUUAGAAUAGUGCCUAAAACACACCCAACAAUAGCUACUUCUGUUGUAUCAGUUCUCCAACAACUAAAUAAGGCAAGUAUUAUUAACUUUAUUUUUACAAAUACAGAUGCUGAGGUUAAGCAAGAUUAAAGAACUUGACCAAAGAUGUGUAAUUAGUAAAUGGGAGAGCAAAGGUUUGACCCUGUAAUCCUGAGAUCCCACAUAUAUAGUUCUUUUCUUCAUAGUUAGCAAUAUAGGGUUGCAGUAGAGGUAUGUGUUUCACUAUCUGGUUUCUUUAUUGGAAUUGUCUUUUAAGGAACACUUGCUUCUGGAACAUUAGUAUCUGGCACAGUAGUCAGCACAUAGAAAACCCAUAAUGAAUACAUGUGUGAAUAAACAUGAUCAGUAUGCCAUUUAGCAUUAGGAUUGGCCAUCAGAAUUUUCCAGCAAAGUACAGUUGAAAUUUUUUGGCUUUACCAUGCACAUCUGUAUUAUAUUUUCCAUUGCUAUAAAAAAUACCUAGGCUGGGUUCUUUAUAUAGAAAAAAGGCUCUGGCAGUUCCAGAGCAUGGUGAAGACUUGGGGUAGGUUCUGGUGGAAACACAGCAGAUGUCAUCAUGUUGUGGGAGUACAUCGAAGAGGGGGUGAUCACAUGGCAAGACAGGAAGUCAGAGCUUGCCUGGUGUUUCACGAGAACUAUGUUAGUCCCUUCUGAAGUUUGCCCCCAAGGACCUAACAACCUCCCACUAAAAUCCACUUUGUAAAAGUCCCACCACCACUUACCAUCACCACAUGGAAUGCCAAGCUUCCAAUUCUCGAACUCUUUACCCUCAACCUAUAUCAACCAUAACAAGAUCCUAAGAUGUGGACCACCUUUGCAAGUAGGUGGAGCUAUAAAUUAGUCUGAAGUCCCUAUUCCCUUCCCUGGUGGCUGCUUCUAGCAUGAGCCAUGAGGCAUUGUAUGUGUCAUUUGUAUAAUUUUUAGUCCAUAACUCUAGAGGGCAAGAAAUGUCACAUUCUUUUAUUAUUUCCCUAAAUUCAUUUUAUUCUGCUCUUGGCCUCUUAUCACCUGGCUGGUGAUAAAUUCAAUUUCAGUCAUUAUUGGGGUUCUCUUUGUUUCUCUGUGGAGUCUAAAGUAAUCUCAGGUUUAUAAGGUGUUAAAACCAAGGAGAAGCCCAGAUCCCCUUGUCUGGGUUGUUGUUGUUCACCUUUGCUAUUGCUCCUUAUAUUUGUGGCUAUCAGGAUUUCUACUCAGAGAUACUCUGCUUAGAGGCCAGCUCUGGUCUGCACAGUUGCAUGAGGGGAUGGCUGCUUUCCUUCUUCUGGGCCACCCUGUGCAACCAUUCUAUGGCUGUGAAAUGUCAUGGAAAUCCUCUUCCCAUCCCUCUGUCAGAUGCUCCAAUCCUCCUUCUGGUCUGAAAGCUCCUUUCUUUAACCUUCUUUCUCCAUUGCAUUCAACUGAUCCAAAAUCACUCAGCACGAUCUCCCUCUGAUGGGUUUUAGAAACCCACUACGGGACUCUAUAUUUUUCUGAAAUGUUGUAGCAGAAAGAGAUGCCAAUACUAGUUAUUAUUUCACAUUGUAACAGGCUUAUUUAUACAGGUGCUUGCGUUGCUGUGGGCAGAGCAGGUAGCAGUCAGUAGCAAAGGGGUGGAAAAAGGGAAGGAACCGAUCCAGGGGAGUUGCCCCUGUAUCUUCCUGUCUCUCCCAGAUUUCACCACCUUCUCCCUUUGUCAUUCUCACAUGAUUCUCCUCCUCAUUUUGCAGAAAGGAAGUGUGAGUUUUCUUAGACUUUUGUGACAAACCAGGCCUGAAUUCUAUUUCCUCUUCUCCAAAGGGCUUAUUGAAAAGAAUAAAUCAUUUUUGGUCUGCAUGUUACCUUUGAGUUUUCUUUUGAAAUCCCACGUGUAAUUUUGCAGGCUCCAGAGCCUCUGGCAUUUCUUAUUUGGCAGCCUUCUUGCAGUUACUUCGGUAUUGGAAUACAGCAAAUAAUUUAAUUUUAUCUCUUUCCGUACAUUGCUUUUAAGUUUUUUUGCCCAAGGUGCAUGUUGCUUUAGGUGAGUUUUGUAGGGCUUAGCAGACAGUUCGUUUUUCUUUUUAUUGACCUCAGACACAAGGUGGAAUAAACACACUUGUUAAUAUUUGGAACUUAAACAAUGAGGCCAUGGCUGUGUCUGCUAGGCCUCCCUCUUCUGAUUUUAUUCCUUAUAAAGAUGAUGGAUGUUAUUAAUGAGGGGCUUUGCUGUAAAUCAGUGGAAACACCUUCACUGUUCAACAAAGUUUUCAUAUUGGGAAGAUUUCUGUUUUAUAGUAUUUCUGCCUGAUAGGCAUCUAUUAUAAAAAGUUCCCUUAGGAAAAGCCUCAAAGAAAAAUCUCCUUUAAAAUAAAAAUCUUGGACAAGGUAGAGGAAGCCGUGUGGCUCAGGGUAGCCUCCUUCUCAGACAUUCAGUUCUAGUUCCAAAUGCUUGUGGACUCCAGGCUGGGCUUGCAGUCAAACAUAAAAUCCUUAUUAAGGACCAGGGCCUCAAGGUUGCCAAGGUUAGUUGCUUUGGUGCUUGGAGGAUGCUGACUACACCAAUAAUGACAUCUCACCUAAUGAAACUGUCAAUGAGAAGGCAGAACCCCUGAGUAUAGGCUGCAUAAUCAGAAAGAGUAUGGGACAUGGACUCCUGAUUUCUCUGUGUCAUUUACAGUUUUCCACCUGGUAUGAGCUGCCAGUGGGCAUCUAUGUACAUACUAGGUCAGAAACUACCUAGUUAUAAUUCUGGGCCAUCCCUGAUAGAAAAUCACAAACGCCUAACUUGUGUGUAGUGCCAGACACAUUAUAGACACUGAUUUUUGUAACUGAGUUAAUAUUGGUAAGUGCUUAGGAUUCUGCCUGCCCUGUCAUGAGCACUUGGAGAGCAGAUUUAUGAUUGCUUUUGAUUUUCAUGAUCAUAUUUUAAAAAUCAGAUCUACCAUCACUCUUCUGCCAAUAAGAAACCUCAUAUCUGUUGGGGUUCAAAUCUGGCUACAGUCAAAACAAGGUGAUAACAUGUCACAAACCCAUGAGCCAAUCUGAAACAAUUCCCAGUUACCAAUUCUUUUAUAGUUAAUGUAUUAUUUUUUAAGUCAAUAAAAAUGCAAUGGUUUUGUGUGUAAUUUCUUUUUUGAAAAGGCCUAUGUUCUUGUCACACACCUGAAAGCAACUGAGCAGCUUCUGUCUGCAUCUCCUUUGUGUGUGCCGGGAAGGCCUUAGCUUUCAUCAGACAGAAAGCAGCAAGUUUUUAUUGUUUAACUUCAUGUAUGUCUUUCCUGAAAGAAGCCAAGUUUCUGCUCUGGAAGAUUGGAUCCAUUUGUUUUUCUCCAUGAAAGUUGGUCAAGUCCUCCUUUUAGAUGGAGUUUGAAGGAGUUUCAAACAGCAUUUUAGUAAUUAUUUUUUGGUACCAAGGUAUUUGAACAAAUGUGUAGCACCCUGUACUCUUAAGGCAAAUGGAGGUAGAAUCUUUAGGGUUCAGUUUAAUUUGUUUCUCAACAUGCUCCUAGUUAGUGUAGGCAUUUGCAAAUUUUAAUAUUGAUGGCUUCAUAAUCAGCAACAUUAUGCAGCUAAAUCUUUCUAAUGCAGAUUGCAGCAAAACUUGACUCGCUUUUGUUUUCUGUGCUCCAGUUGCCUGCUCUAAGUCUUCAUAUACACAAAGCUUUUUUUUUUCUUUUUUUAACUCUUGUUGAGUUAUAUCACUGUGAUGCCCAAACCAAAUGCCACAGGCACACCACACCUUCACUUUUCUUGUAUGAGGUUGGAAACUGACGUUUUCCUCUUUCUUCUCUUUUGUACAGGUAGUCAACUUGUUCAAGGAUUUCUUCAACUUUGGCUGUGGCAUGAACCACGGCAGCCUGAGAAAUGAUAAGUUUCAAAACCCAAAUAAGACAAGGCUGGGAAUCAAAGGUCUCAUUGGAAAGUUUCUGGAUUUCCUUUCAACUUAGAGCUGUAGAAUCACUGGGGCUGUUGCCCACAGCUGCCCCAAAACCUUCCUCGGGAACUGAGGUCCUGGGGUAGCCGCAAAGGGAGAAUGCACCAUAGUGUGAAGGCCAGCAUCAUGAUCUGUGCACAACUUCUCAUCCUGACUCCACACACCAUGUGACUGCUAGGUAGCAGGGUGAGGAGAAAGGCCUCCCAGUCUUUCCUGAGAGAGGUGCCUCCUCCCACUUCCUGGCCAGCACCUCUCCCCAAAGCUGGACAAUGUGAACAACAAAAUUGGUAAUAUUGUAUUGAAUUUAACCCAAAGUGUAAAAUAAAUACCCAUGAGUCAGUAUUCAUAUAAAUAAAUGAUUGAACAAGUAAAUAUAUGGGAGAGAAGAGACAAAUCUGUACAGAAGAAUUCCAAAUAAUUUAUGAGAUGCUCUUCCCCAUAGGAGUGCAGCUAAAUCUUUCUGUAUUAGCCAGCUUUGUGUUACUAUGAGGAAAUGCCC